rnacentral:misc_RNA from 1 species
AACACUGUUAACCUGCGGUACCUGCGGAAGGAUCAUUACAGAGUUGCAAAACUCCCACAAACCAUCGCGAAUCUUACCCGUACGGUUGCCUCGGCGCUGGCGGUCCGGAAGGCCCUCGGGCCCCCGGACCCUCGGGUCCCCCGCUCGCGGGGGGCUGCCCGCCGGAGUGCCGAAACCAAACUCUUGAUAUUUUAUGUCUCUCUGAGUAAACUUUUAAAUAAGUCAAAACUUUCAACAAUG